rnacentral:misc_RNA from 1 species
AAACUGCGAUACGUAAUGUGAAUUGCAGAGCUCAGUGAAUCAUCGAAUCUUUGAACGCGCAUUGCGCCUUCUGGCAACCCGGAAGGCACGCCUGUCCGAGCGUCACCAUCCCCCCUCAGGCCCCUUGGGGUGGCCUGCCCUUGAGGACAGAUGCCCCCGUGUGGGCGUCCUCACAAACCAUGCUCGCAAACGCCUCUGGAGCCCCGAGUGCAGUGGCUGCAAAUGCUCGGUGUGGUUCCCGCUGGCAGCGGUGACCCUAUGGCCGUCUCAGGCCCGUAGAUUGACCUCGGAUCAGGUGGGGAUACCCGCUGAACUUAAGC